CCGUGGGGAGCGUUACCCAUGCAGUUUACGGGGAAGGUAGCUUGCCCCACUAACUAACGGCGGACGGGUGAGUAAUGCUUAGGAAUCUGCCUAUUAGUGGGGGACAACGUUUCGAAAGGAACGCUAAUACCGCAUACGUCCUACGGGAGAAAGCAGGGGAUCAUUUGACCUUGGUGCUAAUAGAUGAGCCUAAGUCGGAUUAGCUAGUUGGUGGGGUAAAGGCCUACCAAGGCGACGAUCUGUAGCGGGUCUGAGAGGAUGAUCCGCACACUGGGACUGAGACACGGCCCAGACUCCUACGGGAGGCAGCAGUGGGGAAUAUUGGACAAUGGGCGCAAGCCUGAUCCAGCCAUGCCGCGUGUGUGAAGAAGGCCUUAUGGUUGUCAAAGCACUUUACGCGAGGAGGAGGAGCUUCAGGUUAAUACCCUGGAUGCUUGGACGUUACUCGCAGAAUAAGCACCGGCUAACUCUGUGCCAGCAGCCGCGGUAAUACAGAGGGUGCAAGCGUUAAUCGCGAUUUACUGGGCGUAAAGCGUGCGUAGUGCGGCUAAUUAACGUCAAAUGUGAAUCCCCGAGCUUACUUGGGAAUUGCAUUCGAUACUGGUUAGCUCAGGCAGUACUCGGGGAGCAGCGAUGGUAGCCAAUUCCAGCGUGUUCAGCGGUCU
rnacentral:rRNA from 1 species